CCUGAGGUACCAGCUGUUGUUCUGAGCUGCCUUUCAAUAAAGCCUGUCCUUUAUUUUCAGACUCAGCAUGUCCCUCCCAGCAAAGAGAUGUGGAAGGCCCCCAGUGUUGUCUUUUCUGGAAAACAAGAGAAAGCGAAGUGUUGAUAGAAGAAGGGGGAAAACAACAAUUUACGUGGGAAAUCACAUUGACCGGUAGCUGACGCUCAAGGAGAAGUUGGAUCUAAGAAAUGACGUAGAAGUCGCAGAGUUUUUACUGGAUAUGACAGCUACAACCUGUUGUCAAAAGCUCUGCUCUGUCCCCUCUGAGGGUGCAAGAAGGAUCACUGGGGAGGAAGAAAGAGCAUUGUCAGCCAGCACUCCUUUAAUAGCAACAGAUGGAAUUAGGUGAACGAGUUGGUGUUUGGAAAGCAAUUCUGUGGCAGAGAAGAAUCCUUGGAAGCUAGGUCAGGAGCAAAUAAAUACCAGUGCUGAUGAAGCUGAAAAAUUCAGGGUGAGCAGCAAGAAGAAAAUCAAGCUCUUGCAUAACAACACAGGGGCAAUUUUUGCUCCAUUUUGAUUUUGCUAUGAGGAUCUUGUGAACUGUACAGAAUUACUAGAUGGAGUAAGAGCAGUACUGGCAGUAACUGGAGUUCUACAGAACAGUGGUGGUGGUUCUGAAUGUUUUGUAGUUACCAAGUGUGAGUAAUCCUGGGGAGGUUUGAACCAAGAACUUGAGGUUGGUGCAGCAUUCAGGGUAUUCAGUGUUUGGUUAUCAGAAGCCCAGAAACUUCCAGUGUUCUGAUAUGAACUUUUUUUUCU